AUUGAACGCUGGCGGCAGGCCUAACACAUGCAAGUCGAGCGGAUGAAGGGAGCUUGCUCCUGGAUUCAGCGGCGGACGGGUGAGUAAUGCCUAGGAAUCUGCCUGGUAGUGGGGGAUAACGUCCGGAAACGGGCGCUAAUACCGCAUACGUCCUGCGGGAGAAAGUGGGGGAUCUUCGGACCUCACGCUCUCAGAUGAGCCUAGGUCGGAUUAGCUAGUUGGUGGGGUAAAGGCCUACCAAGGCGACGAUCCGUAACUGGUCUGAGAGGAUGAUCAGUCACACUGGAAGUGAGACACGGUCCAGACGACUACGGGAGGCAGCAGUGGGGAAUAUUGGACAAUGGGCGAAAGCCUGAUCCAGCCAUGCCGCGUGUGUGAAGAAGGUCUUCGGAUUGUAAAGCACUUUAAGUGGGGAGGAAGGGCAGUAAGUUAAUACCUUGCUGUUUUGACGUUACCAACAGAAUAAGCACCGGCUAACUUCGUG
rnacentral:rRNA from 1 species